rnacentral:rRNA from 1 species
AGCAGCCGCGGUAAUUCCAGCUCCAAUAGCGUAUAUUAAAGUUGUUGCAGUUAAAAAGCUCGUAGUUGAAUUUCGGGAUCUGUCUAUCGGUCGGGCUUUAUUGUCCGCACUGAUUUGAUGGAUUCUUACCUUCUGAAUAACCAGCAUGCCAUUAAGUUGGUGCGUUGGGGAAGCAGAGCUAUUACCUUGAAAAAAUUAGAGUGCUUAAAGCAGGCUAGUGCUUGAAUAGAUUAGCAUGGAAUAAUAAAAUAGGACGGCAUGGUUCUAUUUUGUUGGUUUCUAGGAUCACCGUAAUGAUUAAUAGGGAUAGUUGGGGGCAUUAGUAUUCAAUUGUCAGAGGUGAAAUUCUUGGAUUUAUUGAAGACUAACUACUGCGAAAGCAUUUGCCAAGGAUGUUUUCAUUAAUCAAGAACGAAAGUUAGGGGAUCGAAGACGAUCAGAUACCGUCGUAGUCUUAACCAUAAACUAUGCCGACUAGGGAUCGGACGAAGUUAAUUUUUUAAUGACUCGUUC